UUCGCGGCCGCGACGACACGGAAUCGAAAACGGCGUAGCGCAUCUUCGCCGUCGCCCACUCGCGCAGCGCGCCCACGACGCCAUCAUCAUUAUAAUAUUAUCUCGUACAUCAUAUCAUAAUUCUACCGAAUUUAUCGCGUAGUAGAUCGCCGGGCGUACCGCGUGUGUUUAUAAUAAUAUUAUAUAUUGUUAUUAUGUCGUUUAAAUGAUGGAAGCGAUUUUCGCGUUUUUUGUUUCGACUAAAAAAAAUUAUGACGAAAUUUUGCGCCGGAGGUGCACUCACGUACACGGUAUAAUAUAGCUGUAACGGACUCGCGACGGUUUUUUAUUUCGUUUUUUUACGGACACCUUGGAUAAUGGAUUAUUUCGUUCCGUCGUCGCGUAGUCAUCGCGGAUAAUAUUAUAAUAAUAAUAAUAUAAAUUAUAAUUGACCCGGCGCGCGUAAACCUAACCUAGCCGUGUCGUCGCCGAGGGGGUGUCGGUUACGUCAGAACCACGCUCGUGUACGCCAUGGUCCGUGAAAUUUUAAUAACUCCACCGAGGAGUUUUCGGGCACACCACCGCACGGGCGGCUUCUUUUUUCCCCUCUGUUUUCAGGUGGCAGACGGUGGUGUACACGGAUGCAGAUUUCCUUAUAUAACCUGCAGGGCGCACACACUCAGGCCCACUACCCCGGCGUGGUGUUUUUACCAGAGGGAUGAACGAAAACGAAAAAUAAAUAAAAAUAAACCGCCACGAGGGAUCUGACAGUGAUGAAGAACCGACGACGCACGGCGCAACACUGCAAACUCGGGACGAAAGUUUCAACCUCAUCCGUCAUUUGCGUCGACGUUGCAGGCGAAUCAUCGUAUACAUAAUAUUACACUGCAGCGGCUCGGCUGCAUAUUGUGUGGCUUAUAGAAAUACCUACCUACUUCCUGUAUUCUACCUGCUAUUGUAAUAAUUUAUUAUAAUAUUUCAUUGUAUUAUGUAAGAUUAUGACUGCACAUCUCGAUGAUUUUCCGUAUUCCUGAAAAUCGACAUCGAUUUAUGCGACUGAUGAACACAAAUCUCAAGUCUAGUGAAUGCACAUUUUUGAAUCAAUUGCAACUUGGAUGGAAUUUAAGUCAUUUUUUUAUUUGUAAUAUUAUAUUAUUUAUAUUAUGUACAAAUACUCCCUCGAUUAAUUUUUAUAAAAAUAAUAAUAAUAAUCUAAAAUAUUGUAAUAAUAUUUUUAAGUUUUUUAUUAUUUUGAAUGACAAAUA